UAGAACGCUGAAGGAGGAGCUUGCUUCUCUGGAUGAGUCGCGAACGGGUGAGUAACGCGUAGGUAACCUGCCUGGUAGCGGGGGAUAACUAUUGGAAACGAUAGCUAAUACCGCAUAAUAGUAGUUGUUGCAUGACAACUGUUUGAAAGGUGCAAUUGCAUCACUACCAGAUGGACCUGCGUUGUAUUAGCUAGUUGGUGGGGUAACGGCUCACCAAGGCGACGAUACAUAGCCGACCUGAGAGGGUGAUCGGCCACACUGGGACUGAGACACGGCCCAGACUCCUACGGGAGGCAGCAGUAGGGAGUCUUCGGCAAUGGACGGAAGUCUGACCGAGCAACGCCGCGUGAGUGAAGAAGGUUUUCGGAUCGUAAAGCUCUGUUGUAAGAGAAGAACGAGUGUGAGAGUGGAAAGUUCACACUGUGACGGUAUCUUACCAGAAGGGGACGGCUAACUACGUGCCAGCAGCCGCGGUAAUACGUAGGUCCCGAGCGUUGUCCGGAUUUAUUGGGCGUAAAGCGAGCGCAGGCGGUUAGAUAAGUCUGAAGUUAAAGGCUGUGGCUUAACCAUAGUACGCUUUGGAAACUGUUUAACUUGAGUGCAAGAGGGGAGAGUGGAAUUCCAUGUGUAGCGGUGAAAUGCGUAGAUAUAUGGAGGAACACCGGUGGCGAAAGCGGCUCUCUGGCUUGUAACUGACGCUGAGGCUCGAAAGCGUGGGGAGCAAACAGGAUU
rnacentral:rRNA from 1 species